rnacentral:tRNA from 1 species
CGGGGUGUAGCUCAGUUUGGCUAGAGCGCCUGCUUUGGGAGCAGGAGGUCGUAGGUUCGAGUCCUAUCACCCCGA